UGGCCGCGGGAUUUGACUAAGCCAUGCGAGUCAUAUGUUCUUCGUGAACAUGGCGUACUGCUCAGUAACACGUGGAUAACCUGCCCUUGGGUCUGGGAUAACCCCGGGAAACUGGGGAUAAUACCGGAUAACGCAUAUAUGCUGGAAUGCUUUAUGCGUAAAAUGGAUUCGUCUGCCCAAGGAUGGGUCUGCGGCCUAUCAGGUAGUAGUGGGUGUAAUGUACCUACUAGCCUACAACGGGUACGGGUUGUGAGAGCAAGAGCCCGGAGAUGGAUUCUGAGACAUGAAUCCAGGCCCUACGGGGCGCAGCAGGCGCGAAAACUUUACAAUGCGGGAAACCGUGAUAAGGGGACACCGAGUGCCAGCAUCAUAUGCUGGCUGUCCAGAUGUGUAAAAUACAUCUGUUAGCAAGGGCCGGGCAAGACCGGUGCCAGCCGCCGCGGUAACACCGGCGGCCCGAGUGGUGAUCGUGAUUAUUGGGUCUAAAGGGUCCGUAGCCGGUUUGGUCAGUCCUCCGGGAAAUCUGAUGGCUCAACCAUUAGGCUUUCGGGGGAUACUGCCAGGCUUGGAACCGGGAGAGGUAAGAGGUACUACAGGGGUAGGAGUGAAAUCUUGUAAUCCCUGUGAGACCACCUGUGGCGAAGGCGUCUUACCAGAACGGGUUCGACGGUGAGGGACGAAAGCUGGGGGCACGAACCGGAUUAGAUACCCGGGUAGUCCCAGCCGUAAACGAUGCUCGCUAGGUGUCAGGCAUGGCGCGACCGUGUCUGGUGCCGCAGGGAAGCCGUGAAGCGAGCCACCUGGGAAGUACGGCCGCAAGGCUGAAACUUAAAGGAAUUGGCGGGGGAGCAAAUCACUAGUGCGGCCGCCUGCAGGUCG
rnacentral:rRNA from 1 species